AACAAAAACUCCUCGGUGUUCACCAAAAACGACACGGAAGAAACAAAGGUUACUUUUUUCCGUUCCUGCUAAAAACAAAUCUAAUGCCAUAUUAGACCAUUUGAUGUGAUAUAAAUAAACUUAGUAUUUAGAAUAUAAAUUAGCAUUUCAAUUGUGAUUCAGAUAGUUUGUUGCAUUGUUCGAGUCGUUUUUCCAAUAAGGGGACAUCCGGAACAAUAUAUAGGACAUAUUAUGUUUUACUCGAACUCUUUGAGUGUAGCAAAGGCGCCAGAUGCUUACAUUUGAGAGAAACAAACUUCUUCUAAGACAUCCUAAAAUGCCAUUGGACUCCUUGCGAUCUAAACUUGAACAAUUGCUGGAUGCAUUCAUCAAGGCCCGGAAAGAGCUGGAGGAAAUACUUUCAGCAGAGGGCAGCAGUGAACAAGAACAUUUCUUACUGGAUCUUCUACUCGCCUGAAGACUGAGCUAGAGAGACACAGAGAGCAACGGUCGAGUCAUCUUUAAAAGAAAACAAAGACUCCAAGCACCACAGUCAAGAUAAUUUAUCUGAUAAUAAACCUAAAACAAUG